UACGAAUCAAGAACGCAGACCAAAAUCUGGCAUCGCGAGGAGGUCAAAUCGGAAACCUCCCCCUCCCCCUCCCCCAUAUCUUAUCAACACAGUUCCCUUCCUCGUCUCGUAGGAUCUCUAUCUUGAGGAGAUCGAUCAUGGCCUGCCCUCCCUCCUGAACCUCGUAGCUGACCCCGCCGCCGCCGAUUCAUUGAGGAUUUGAGGUUGAGGGCACAAGAGGCAUGUCUUGUUCAGCAACUGGGAUGGAAAGCAGAUCAGUCCCCACCCCCGAUUCAUAGAAACACAAGGUUUACUGAACAUAAGAGGUGGCUUAAAUCUAGUAACUAUUAAGGUUUCAGGUGUGGACGCGUGCAAUAUUUCAAUGUAGUUCUGCACCAUUACUACCUUGAAAAUGGACGAUGGAGUGACUAGAACAAGUGUUAUCUUGGUCGUACCUAUGGACAAAUUGCAGUAAGUAUCAUGUCGACUAGUGAGGCCCUAAUAAAAUGAAAAAUGUUAAUUUUAUUAUGAAUAUCAGAACAUGAUCUGCAGCAGCACAACUACAAGUCCAGUCUACAAAACGACACACUUGUUCUCAAAAUAAAUGUUAGUGAACAACCAUGUGCACGAUAGUGAAAACACAUGUAUACUCUGCAACACACUCAGCCUUGGCCCAUGGGAUCUCCUCACAGUUCCAACUUGAAAAUCUCAUCAGCCUAGCUAUAAUGCUUGUGCAUGAAGGAAACCUCCUUAACACCAAAGAGAAUGAACUUGGGUGUCCUUGAGCUUAUGAUCCUCUUACUAUCCGUGGAUAGUGUUAAACCUGAACAUGUGUUCCCCCCUGCAAAAACCAAGUUAAACAUCAUACCACACAAGUACAAGUUCAUCUUCCCUAAGCAACUGAAAUAGAUCAACAGUUAAAUUACUAGUAUCGAAAGAUAACUGCAUUUUAUUCAUAGUAAUGUUCCCAGCAUAGAAAAAAAAACUAAAAAGCAUGGGGUCAUUGAAAGAGCUGCUAUAUGGAGUUUCAUUUUGUUACUUGCUCUUUUUCUUAUACACCUGAUGAACAAAAUAAUGGACCCCUUGCAAAUUUACAUUUUAGAGUAACGGUUUCAUGUCUUAGUUCAUCGUUUUCACUAUGAAAUAGGAAUAGCUUGAUUUAUUCCCAGUACCUACUCAGUACUAAAUGAGUUGCUAUUUUGAUUUGAUAAGGAACAAAUGUGGUAAGACUUAUUUUUAUUGAUUGUAGGGGUAGAAAUUACUUCAAAAUAUGAUUGUUUGAGCUGAAAUCUGAAUUAAUCAUCUUCACAUCUGUGGGGAUGACUGUCAUAAGGUCG